GCAGCCAUCCUCAAAGGAGUGCGUAAUAGCUCACUGGUCGAGCGAUCCUGCGCCGAAAAUGAACGGGGCUAAGCAUUGUACCGAAGCUGCGGAUUUAAUUGUUCUUAGGAACAUUCAAAUGGUAGGGGAGCGUUCCAUGUGGGGUGAAGCGUUAGCGUAAGCGGGCGUGGACUGCAUGGAAGUGAGAAUGUCGGCUUGAGUAGCGAAAACAUGGGUGAGAAUCCCAUGCCCCGAAACCCUAAGGGUUCCUCCGGCAGGCUCGUCCGCGGAGGGUUAGUCAGGACCUAAGGCGAGGCCGAAAGGCGUAGUCGAUGGACAACAGGUCAACAUUCCUGUACCUGUCAUGUUUUGGGAAGGGGGACGGAGAAGGCUAGCCCAGCCAGAUGUUGGUUACUGGUUCAAGCGUUCGAGGCGUUGAGGAGCGGAGAAAACGCUCUGAGCUGAGGCGUGAGUACGAGCUGCUACGGCAGCGAAGUGGGUGAUGUCAAGCUUCCAAGAAAAGCCCUAUACCCGUUAAGGCAUGAUGGCCUGUACCCGAAACCGACACAGGUGGGGUGGUAGAGAAUACCGAGGGGCGCGAGAUAACUCUCUCUAAGGAACUCGGCAAAAUGGCCCCGUAACUUCGGGAGAAGGGGUGCCACCGCAAGGUGGUCGCAGUGAAGAGGCCCAGGCGACUGUUUACCAAAAACACAGGUCUCCGCUAAGUCGCAAGACGAUGUAUGGGGGCUGACGCCUGCCCAGUGCCGGAAGGUUAAGGAAGCUGGUCAGCGAAAGCGAAGCUAGCGACUGAAGCCCCGGUGAACGGCGGCCGUAACUAUAACGGUCCUAAGGUAGCGAAAUUCCUUGUCGGGUAAGUUCCGACCCGCACGAAAGGCGUAACGAUCUGGGCGCUGUCUCGGAGAGAGGCUCGGCGAAAUAGAAUUGUCUGUGAAGAUGCGGACUACGUGCACCCGGACAGAAAGACCCUAUGAAGCUUUACUGUAGCUUGGUAUUGUGCCCGGGCUCUGAAUGCGCAGGAUAGGUGGGAGGCUUUGAUCCAUGGCUUGCGGGUCAUGGUGAGCCAACGGUGAGAUACCACUCUUUCAGAGCUAGGGUUCUAACAGCCACCCGUUAUCCGGGGGCUGGACAGUAUCAGGUGGGCAGUUUGACUGGGGCGGUCGCCUCCUAAAAGGUAACGGAGGCGCGCAAAGGUUUGCUCAGGCUGGUUGGAAAUCAGCCGACGAGUGUAAAAGCAGAAGCAAGCUUGACUGUGAGACCUACAAGUCGAACA
rnacentral:rRNA from 1 species